rnacentral:rRNA from 1 species
UACGUAGGGUGCGAGCGUUGUCCGGAAUUACUGGGCGUAAAGAGCUCGUAGGUGGUUUGUCGCGUUGUCCGUGAAAUUCUCUGGCUUAACUGGGGGCGUGCGGGCGAUACGGGCAGACUGGAGUACUGCAGGGGAGACUGGAAUUCCUGGUGUAGCGGUGGAAUGCGCAGAUAUCAGGAGGAACACCGGUGGCGAAGGCGGGUCUCUGGGCAGUAACUGACGCUGAGGAGCGAAAGCGUGGGGAGCGAACAG